GAUGAACGCUCGCGGCAGGCCUAAUACAUGCGAGUCGAACGAGAUUAAGAGGCUUGCUUCUUAUGAAAGUGGCGCACGGGUGCGUAACGCGUAUGCAACCUACCUUAAUCAGGGGGAUAGCCCGAAGAAAUUCGGAUUAAGACCGCAUAAAAACACAGGAUAGCAUUAUCCAAUGUUCAAAUAUUUAUAGGAUUAAGAUGGGCAUGCGUGUCAUUAGCUAGUUGGCGGGGUAACGGCCCACCAAGGCGACGAUGACUAGGGGAUCUGAGAGGAUGACCCCCCACACUGGUACUGAGACACGGACCAGACUCCUACGGGAGGCAGCAGUAAGGAAUAUUGGUCAAUGGAGGGAACUCUGAACCAGCCAUGCCGCGUGCAGGAAGACAGCCCUCUGGGUCGUAAACUGCUUUUAUUCGGGAAUAAACCUUUCUACGUGUAGGAAGCUGAAUGUACCGAAGGAAUAAGGAUCGGCUAACUCCGUG
rnacentral:rRNA from 1 species